CACGUUUAGUCUAGACCAGCAGAGCUCUUUCGUUAUCGAGUGGUCAUCAAGUUUUGUUUAAGAAAAGUCACCUGGUCCUUGGUUAAAAAGAAAGUGGACUGCGAAGAUGUUCUUCGAGUUCUCUUCAUUGGUUUAGCAGUGGUGUCAGUUUUGUUCCAGACAUAUCGACAUGUAAAGGCUAUUGAAAUAUUGAAUGAAUGCCUAAAUGUUCUGAAAAUAUACGCUUCAAAUUUUGAAAUAAAAGGGGCAAACGCUCUUUUUGGGCUGAUCUACCACAAGUUGUUUUACCUUUACAAGUUCGUUGGCGAUUGCAAGAAUGCGAUUCAAAUUGGGGGGGAGGCAAUCCAAGCAUAUCUUCUAAUGGGUGAUGUUCGACAUGCAGCUGAAUUACUCGGAAUAGUUGGCAAUGAGUAUCAGAUAGCUGGGGAACAAGUGAAAGCCAAAGAAAGAUAUGACACAGCUUUCAGAAUAUUUUACCUGAGGGAAGUCAACCAACUCGAGCAAUUUGAUAUGUCAGAUAUCGAGAGAAGGGAACAUUUAAAUAGAAUGCUAUUAAUGGAAACAAAAGCUGACAACAAGACAGGGCAAGGAAUCAUUCUUUCCCAGCUUGGAGAAACGGCGAGGUCUAUUUUCGAUCACCCUGGCGCCAUGGACUUCUUUAAAAGGGAACUUGAAAUCUGGAAAGAAAUUGGUAAUAAAAAGAAACAUGGAGAUACUCUUCGGCGCAUCGGUGAAUUGCUGUAGGAUAAUGAAGAAUACGAACAAGCCAAACGUUAUUACAGCAAGGCAGUGGAAAAACUAAAGGAGGCUGAUGCGAAUAAAGAGCUGGGAAUGGCCUUGACUGAUCUUGGGAGAAUAUGUGACAUGCUUGGCGAAUUUCAAGAUGCAAUAAGUUCCCUACAGAAAUCCCUCGAAAUCAGCUUGGAGAAUGGAGACAAACAUGAAGAAGUCUUGAAUCGUCGAUUUCUUGGCGAUGCCCACACCUCCGUUGGAGAAUAUGACAAAGGGAAGAAAUGUUACGACGAGACUUUGGCACUCAGUAGGAUCGCAGGGGACAAAAAAGGUGUGGCACUUGCAUAUAGCGGUUUAAGGAGUUUUUAUCGCCGAAAAAACAAAAUUGCAAAGGCAGCAGAUUAUGGCGAAAAGGCAAUCGAAAUCUACUCUGACAUUGGUGACUUACGUCUGGAAGGAAUCGAAAAUUGCGAACUUGGAGAUAUUUGCUCGUUUACUAGUAGAUUUGAGGAAGCAGUAAAGUAUCACACUCGAUCUCUUGAGAUUAAAAGGAAAACUGGCGAUAGAAAAGGAGAAGCACAACAAUACGGUAACCUUGGUGUUGUUUACCAGAAUUUGGGUGAUCACUGUAAAGGAAAGCAUUACCAUGAAAGAGCACUGGCUAUCAACAAAGAAACCAAUCACCUGGUAGGUCAAGGAGUAGACUACAGCAAUCUCGGCAGUGUUUACCAACAUCGUGGUGAAUCUUCCAGGGCAUACCAUUACUACAGGAAGGCAUUAGAGAUCAAUUUUCGAACUCGAAACCAAGAAGCAAUAGCUGCUGGUUACUGUCAAUUGGGAAUUUGCUCUCAGAAUGAAGGAAAGUAUGAGGAGGCUAAGAAACUUCGUUGGACUGGUCUUAAAAUUGCAAGCAGGCUUGGUUAUAGAAAUAUGGAGGCAACUAUAUUAUGCGACUUGGCAAAAAUUUACUCUGUUAUUGGCGGGUCCGAAAAAGCAAUGGACUCUUACAAAAGGGCAGAGGUAAUCUUCAAAGAAGUUGGAAAUAGCGCGAAACACGCAGAAGUACUCGCCAACAUCGGGUCUGUUUAUCAGUCGGACGGCGAUAAACUAACAGCUAUAAAAUAUCUGAGAGGAUCGUUAGACAUUAUCAAAGGAAUUGAAAGCCAGGAUGUGGAGGCUUCUACUUCGGCCAUACUUGCAGGUCUGCAUGUUUCUUUAGGCGAAUAUGCUGAAGCAAUACCUUUAUACAAGUGCGCUCUCAGAAUAGCGAAAGAAACUGAAAAUAAACGACUGGAAAUGCAGAUGAACAUGCAUGUACAGAUCAGUUGGAAAAUGCCCUUCCAUGUUUCAAAGAGGCACUGUCGCUUUGCGAAAUGAUGGAAGACAUACGAGGUAUAAGUACUUGCUGUUGUAAUAUAGCAACCGUAUAUGCUGUGACCCAAGAUCUUCCAAAUAUCAGGUUGUAUCUUAAGAAAAGCAUUAAGGUUUUUGAGAAGAUUCGGGAAGUUCUUGGAGAAAGUGAAGAUUUCAAAAUAGGCUUUGCCGACAAACAUGAUGCUCCUUACCAAUUAAUGAUUGCCAUUUUGAUCAAAUUAGGAAACACUGACCUUGCCUUGUCAGUUGUGGAGCUUGUACGUGCUAGAUCACUGGCAGAGUUGAUGGUUGAAAGAUAUUCCGCACCGCCUUUGCCUGACUUGGAUUCCAGUCAAUUAAUUGAUUUCCAUCAUGUUGUCAAAGAUAAGAAUACGCCCUGCAUAUCAUUCUGUUUUGUACAAGGACAUCUUUCUUGUUGGACCUUGAAGGCUAACCCAGAAAUCACGCUAAGAGAGGUCAAAACAGAUGGUUUGCCUUUAAACAUCCGACCUAAAGGUAUUUCGACAGUAGACUGGGUAGAGAAUCUUUUGAAUCAGUUUUACAGACAGUUUUCACCUUUUCCAGAAGAGCAGUGUGAAAAUCGUUUGCUGUUACUUCGAGAUAGAGACUCUGAGGGACGAUCCCCCGCCAAGCCGCAAGAAAGCCCAAAAGUUGAACAAAGCCAAAACGCCUGCCACGUCAAGAAGAAGUAUGAAGGAGGUUCAAAUGAAGAACCACUCAUCAGUGUUGUAUAAGGACAUUAUAGCUCCUGUGGUUGAUCUUCUGGAAGGAUCUGAGAUAGUUGUCGUCCUUGAUCGUUCGCCAUACAGAGUUUCAUUUUCUGCGUUGAUGAACGAGAAAGACGAAUUUCUAGGAAAAAAGUUUAGGAUUCGAUAUACUCCAUCUUUGACGACUCUUAAGCUGAUCCAAGACAGUCCUGAAGAUGAUCACAGUGAGACAGGAGUUCUCCUUGUUGGCGAUCCUGAUGUUGGUACACCUGAUCGAUUACCAUGUGCUAAAGAAGAAGUUGAGAUGAUUGGAUAUAUUCUUAAUGUUCAACCCUUAACUGGUAAAGAAGCUACCAAGGAAGCGGUACUACAGAAGAUACACUCUGUAAGUCUCAUUCACAUUGCUGCACAUGGUGAAGAAGAGAAAGGUAAUAUCGCAUUAGCUCCAUCCAACCGUGAGAAGGACGACUUUCUGUUGACAAUGGUCGAUAUCUCAGCAGUCAGAUUGCGAGCCAAGCUGGUGGUGCUCAGUUGCUGUCACAGUGGAAAAGGCCACAUCAAAGGUGAAGGAGUUGUUGGAAUAGCUCGAGCCUUCUUAGGAUCUGGCGCUCGCUCAGUGUUGGCGUCUCUAUGGGCUAUGGACGACGAAGAAACCAUGGAGUUCAUGAAGCAAUUCUGCGAACACUUGGUAGAUGGAAAAAGUGCCAGUGAAUGUCUUCAUGAAACCAUGAAAUGGAUGAGGAAGAAACCUAAAUACUCGGAAGUGAAAGAUUGGGCACCAUUCGUGCUGAUUGGAGAUGACCUGUCAUUCAAAUUCGUGUAUUGAAUUGAAAGAAAGAACUUUCUCGAUGAAGGUGAAAGCAACAGGUUUCUCAACGCGAUAAAGCCUUGAACGAUCGAUUCCGUUAUAGAGGAACUUUGAGAGUAAAUUUAAGUGUAGCAUUUAAUCCUAGAACUUUAUCGGACUUGUCUGUCAUUUGAGAACAGCACAAUAGUAUCUUCAGAAGUGCGAAGACGAAGACAGACAAAAAAAAGCAACUCGUGUCGCCGAAAAAGAAGAAGAAAAAGAGAUGAAUAUUUUAUUUUAAUUAUGUUAAUGUGAAUUACAAUACUUAUUUGAAAAGCUGGAUCUGUACACAGGUUUUUAAAAUGUAACUGUCAUGAUCAACUGACCUCGUGUGUCCAACUGAAAAAAUAAUUCUUUGAUGGUUCAACUUGAAAAAAUGAUAAUUGGAAAAGUUCUGAUAAAAGA
rnacentral:misc_RNA from 1 species